GCCUACGGGGGGCAGCAGUAGGGAAUUUUCGUCAAUGGGCGCAAGCCUGAACGAGCAAUGCCGCGUGAACGAGGAAGGUCUUCGGAUCGUAAAGUUCUGUUGAAGGGGAAAAAGAGCGGAGAGAGGAAAUGAACUCCGAUUGAUAUUACCCUUCGAGGAAGUCACGGCUAACUACGUGCCAGCAGCCGCGGUAAUACGUAGGUGGCGAGCGUUAUCCGGAAUGAUUGGGCGUAAAGGGUGCGUAGGCGGCCUGCUAAGUCUGGAGUGAAAACCCGGGGCUCAACCCUGGGAGUGCUUUUGAAACU
rnacentral:rRNA from 1 species